UGCCCAGCAACUCCUAUCCGUACCUCCCCGCGGUACUGGCCGGCAUACGAGUAACUUUGGAGAAGAUCGGGUAACCAAUCCCAGUGGGAACUUUGGUGUAUGCUGACAGGAAAGG
rfam:Aedes aegypti strain Liverpool supercont1.2093 genomic scaffold, whole genome shotgun sequence.